UGGUCCUAUAUUUUGACACUAGUCGUCACUUAGGGAUUUAAAGAGUGCAUUGCAACCCCUAAGUCUAAAAAACCAAGACUUUCAAAAGUUUCCAAAUCUUGGCACCAAACGCCAACUUAGUCCAGUCUCACCACCAAACAUAGCUNAAAAACCAAGACUUUCAAAAGUUUCCAAAUCUUGGCACCAAACGCCAACUUAGUCCAGUCUCACCACCAAACAUAGCUAGCUUGAAAAGCAACUAAAUUGGAACAUUUCUUGCACCUAUAUUUUGACACUAGUCGUCACUUGGGGAUUUAAAGAGUGCAUUGCAGCCCCUAAGUCUAAAAAACCAAGACUAUCAAAAAUUUCAAAAUCUUGGCACCAAGCACCAACUUAGUCCCCUCUCACCACCAAACAUAGCCAGCUUGAAAAGCAACUAAAUUGAAUUGCACCUAUACUUUGAAACUAGUCAUCAUUUGGGGAUUUCAAUAGUGCAUUGCUGCCCCUAAUUCUAAAAAAAAGACUUUCAAAAAUUUCCAAAUCUUGGCACCAAGCACCAACUUAGUCCAGUCUCACCACAAAACGUAUCUUGCAUGAAAAGCAACUAAAUUGAAACAUUUCUUGCACAUAUAUUUUGACACUAGUCGUCAUUUGGGGAUUUAAAGAGUGCAAUGCAGCCCUUAAGUCUAAAAAACCCAGACUAUAAAAAAUUUCCAAAUCUUGGCACCAAGCACGAACUUCGUCCAGUCUCACCACCAAACAUACCUUGCUUGAAAAUAAACAAAAUUGAAACAGUUUUUGCACCUAUAUUUUGACACUACUCGUCAUUUGGGGAUUUAAAGAGUGCAUUGCAACCCCUAAGUCUAAAAAACUAACACUUUCAAAAAUUUCCAAAUCUUGACACCAAACACCAACUUA
rnacentral:lncRNA from 1 species